CAACGAGAUUAAAAUGCAUGCUCAUAUCUUGAUAUGCCCCUGUCCUAUUUACAGAGGUGAACGUGGAUGGAGAAGUGAACAAUCUAGGUGUAUGGUUCCAGAACCCUGUGUACAUCUUAGUCAUCUGUGUUGGCGCUGUAGCCAUCUUUAUAGCUACUGUGGUACUGGUGAUCCGCUUCACUUCAAAGGCACGCGCACGUCGUCGUAAGUACGCAUUGCCUGGUCAGAAUCAGCGGCUAUCUGAGAAUGCACAGCGAUACACGCUGGACCCACAAGCAUCGGUCUACCAAGAACCCGGAAGACAGAUGUACCAGAACCCAGUGUACAACAUCGGCGAUGAAUGAGGAAGAUGGAAUCAAUGGAAACUAAUGAGUGCAAUAAUAAUAGAAUGUCGUAUCUGUUGACGUGAGCUUGAAUUGAUAAUUAGUUUGAAUUUCAAUGAUAAAGUUUUUAUGAUUGUAAUUAAAACGUUAGUGUAUUAUAUAUAACGACAUA